UCUACACAACAACAAAACUUGAAACAAACGAAAGGGAAAAAGAAAGUCGAUGCAAUGUUCGGAACCAUAUUAACAAUGGAGAAAAAUCUAAAGCUACUACUUAUCUCGGGUAGUUGAAGAAGUCGAACGAAGUGCUCGCAGCGACAAGUUCGAUAUUUCGGCACGAGAACUAGACAAUAGUUUAAUUUUUCGAGGAUCUUAUUAGCUAGAGCGUACAAGUUGGAAAUUCUGGUGAGCCCCACAUUGCUUCGCGUGGGCAAAGAGUUUAUUUAAUAGUUAUCGCCCUUUUCUUUAAAACUCUUAGAGUUGCUCCAUAGUCAUUUUAAUAGUGCCAUGUGAAUUAAUUAUCAUUUUCGACUUGUUCACUAGAUCGAACUUUCUUAUCGUAUUUUGGAGAUAGAUUUAGCAUCACGGUCUUACAAGUGAUUGAUUAAUAGUGAUGGAAAUCUGACUGGGUAGUCGAUGACGAUUAUGAGCUAUUUUGUUGGAUAUUGAUUGGUUUUGUUGUUGCUUUUUGAGACAGGUAAUUUUUGGAUAGUCCUAAAAUAGGGGAAACUCUGUCCGAUUUUCUGUAAAAUACCGAUGAUGCUUACUUGGGGGCAUUUACUCCUAAGUGCCGGUCAUGAUCCUUAAUUGGGUCGUGACAAAGUUGGUA